AGUCGAGCGGUAGAGAGAAGCUUGCUUCUCUUGAGAGCGGCGGACGGGUGAGUAAUGCCUAGGAAUCUGCCUGGUAGUGGGGGAUAACGUUCGGAAACGGACGCUAAUACCGCAUACGUCCUACGGGAGAAAGCAGGGGACCUUCGGGCCUUGCGCUAUCAGAUGAGCCUAGGUCGGAUUAGCUAGUUGGUGAGGUAAUGGCUCACCAAGGCGACGAUCCGUAACUGGUCUGAGAGGAUGAUCAGUCACACUGGAACUGAGACACGGUCCAGACUCCUACGGGAGGCAGCAGUGGGGAAUAUUGGACAAUGGGCGAAAGCCUGAUCCAGCCAUGCCGCGUGUGUGAAGAAGGUCUUCGGAUUGUAAAGCACUUUAAGUUGGGAGGAAGGGUUGUAGAUUAAUACUCUGCAAUUUUGACGUUACCGACAGAAUAAGCACCGGCUAACUCUGUGCCAGCAGCCGCGGUAAUACAGAGGGUGCAAGCGUUAAUCGGAAUUACUGGGCGUAAAGCGCGCGUAGGUGGUUUGUUAAGUUGGAUGUGAAAUCCCCGGGCUCAACCUGGGAACUGCAUUCAAAACUGACUGACUAGAGUAUGGUAGAGGGUGGUGGAAUUUCCUGUGUAGCGGUGAAAUGCGUAGAUAUAGGAAGGAACACCAGUGGCGAAGGCGACCACCUGGACUAAUACUGACACUGAGGUGCG
rnacentral:rRNA from 1 species